rnacentral:ncRNA from 2 species
UAAACGGGACGACCUGUUUACGCAUCUGUAUCCGGGGACGACCCC